UGGGGAAUUUUGCGCAAUGGGGGAAACCCUGACGCAGCAACGCCGCGUGAGUGAUGAAGGCCUUCGGGUCGUAAAGCUCUGUCAGAGGGGAAGAAAUGCAGGGGUGCUAAUAUCAUCUUUGCUUGACGGUACCCUCAAAGGAAGCACCGGCUAACUCCGUGCCAGCAGCCGCGGUAAUACGGAGGGUGCGAGCGUUGUUCGGAAUUAUUGGGCGUAAAGCGCGUGUAGACGGUUUGAUAAGUCUGAUGUGAAAGCCCCGGGCUCAACCUGGGAAGUGCAUUGGAAACUGUGAGAGGUGAAUAGGGGAGAGGGGAGUGGCAUUGCUAGUGUAGGAGUGAAAUCCGUAGAUAUUAGGAGGAACAGCGGUGGCGAAGGCGUGUACCUGGACGGAUAUUGACGCUGAGACGCGAAAGCGUGGGG
rnacentral:rRNA from 1 species